UUUAUUUGCACAGAAUAUUGUAGUGCGAUCUUAAAAUCAUCAAUUCAGAGGUUUCUAUUCAGAUCAGAAACAUUUGGAACAAAAAAUAUUGCCCCCCUUUCCCGCAAAUUCUUAUCUCCAUACUAAUUUUAAAAAGAAAAACCAAAUCCUAAAAUCACCUAUUCAUGGUUUGAUUGCAAACAGUAAAAAAAUGAAAAAGAAAAAGAAAGCUCUACUCCUCAGAAUAUAGUAACUUUACCGGAACAUGAUAUGCAUAAAAAGAAUAAAUAUAACCAUCAAAAAUAAAUAAAUCAAAGUCACACACAUAAGGCAUCAAAGAG
rnacentral:lncRNA from 1 species